rnacentral:rRNA from 1 species
UACGGGGGGAGCAAGCGUUGUUCGGAUUUACUGGGCGUAAAGGGCGCGUAGGCGGCCAGCACAAGUCAGUUGUGAAAUCUCCGGGCUUAACUCGGAAAGGUCAACUGAUACUGUGCGGCUAGAGUGCGGAAGGGGCAACUGGAAUUCUCGGUGUAGCGGUGAAAUGCGUAGAUAUCGAGAGGAACACCUGCGGCGAAGGCGGCCCCCUGGCUCGUACCUGACGCUCAGACACGAAAGCAUGGGGAGCGAACGGG